rnacentral:rRNA from 1 species
ACGGGAGGCAGCAGCUAAGAAUAUUCCGCAAUGGACGAAAGUCUGACGGAGCGACGCCGCGUGGAUGAUGAAGGUCGGAAGAUUGUAAAAUCCUUUUAUAACUGAGGAAUAAGCAGUGUGAGAGAAACGCAUUGCGGUGACUGUAGGUUAUGAAUAAGCAACGGCUAAUUACGUGCCAGCAGCCGCGGUAACACGUAAGUUGCGAGUGUUGUUCGGAAUUAUUGGGCGUAAAGGGCAUGUAGGCGGUUUUGCAAGCUUGGUGUGAAAGGCGGGAGCUUAACUCCCGGACUGCGUUGAGAACUGCAUAACUAGAGUCACUGAGGGGCAAUCAGAAUUCCUGGUGUAGGGGUGAAAUCUGUAGAUAUCAGGAAGAAUACCAAUGGCGAAGGCAGGUUACCAGCAGAUGACUGACGCUGAGGUGCGAAGGUGCGGGGAGCAAACAGGAUUAGAUACCCUGGUA